UACCCAUGGUGAGGACACAUACUCAAAAACUUCUUGAAUCUCUCCCAAGACUAGUACAAAGUCUCACUAUCCUUUUGUACAAAGGUAGAGAUUUGCGUUUUUAAAGCG